GGUCCGCUGGCUCAAUGGCAGAGCGUCUGACUACGAUUCCUCCUCCGAGCAUUCGGAGCGGAUCGAGUAAUCAGGAGGUUCCAGGUUCGACCCCUGGGUGGAUCG